UGAUCUCCAGCUUGCUGGGGUGAUUAGUGGCGAACGGGUGAGUAACACGUGAGUAACCUGCCCUUAACUCUGGGAUAAGCCUGGGAAACUGGGUCUAAUACCGGAUAUGACUUCUCAUCGCAUGGUGGGGGGUGGAAAGCUUUUUGUGGUUUUGGAUGGACUCGCGGCCUAUCAGCUUGUUGGUGAGGUAAUGGCUUACCAAGGCGACGACGGGUAGCCGGCCUGAGAGGGUGACCGGCCACACUGGGACUGAGACACGGCCCAGACUCCUACGGGAGGCAGCAGUGGGGAAUAUUGCACAAUGGGCGCAAGCCUGAUGCAGCGACGCCGCGUGAGGGAUGACGGCCUUCGGGUUGUAAACCUCUUUCAGUAGGGAAGAAGCGAAAGUGACGGUACCUGCAGAAGAAGCGCCGGCUAACUACGUGCCAGCAGCCGCGGUAAUACGUAGGGCGCAAGCGUUAUCCGGAAUUAUUGGGCGUAAAGAGCUCGUAGGCGGUUUGUCGCGUCUGCCGUGAAAGUCCGGGGCUCAACUCCGGAUCUGCGGUGGGUACGGGCAGACUAGAGUGAUGUAGGGGAGACUGGAAUUCCUGGUGUAGCGGUGAAAUGCGCAGAUAUCAGGAGGAACACCGAUGGCGAAGGCAGGUCUCUGGGCAUUAACUGACGCUGAGGAGCGAAAGCAUGGGGAGCGAACAGGAUUAGAUACCCUGGUAGUCCAUGCCGUAAACGUUGGGCACUAGGUGUG
rnacentral:rRNA from 1 species